AUCCGCACAUGCGCGUUUGGACAAGACAGUCUAACUGCGCACUUUGGAUCUGAGACGAAUUGGCGGGCUGCUGCGUGGCUGCUUUCUGUCGUGUUUGAGAUCAAGGAGGAAUUCAGGAGAAUCGAUCAUGGGGCAGAGAUUCAUGUUCAGACUUGACCAAUGCACAUCAAGACUUAUUGCCCUGAUGAAGGCCAUGGGAGGUGUUGUGGGGACCAACUGAGGCCAUUUCUGGACAAACUGAGUCAGACACAAAGCCUUGAGAUGGGAAUCAGUUAUCCGCAGCCUCAUUCUCUACUUUGACGAUAAAGAAGAUGAUAAACUGUGUUUUGAAGAUGAACAGAGUUCUGACGGGCUCGGGACGACAUGAGGGAGGACAGCGGCAGUGACAUCACUCAGCACAGCAUUAAAAUACUGGUCGUUCGUGGUGCUGAUGGAGAAGAUCCAAUCGAUGUAUCCAUCCUUUUAGAAGGGAAGGAAAUGCUGGAAGCAGCAAUACCGUAAAGACAGUUUUACUGAAUGCACCUGUGUCAAGAGAUGACUGAAUGUCCAUUCUUGUAUGAACAUUUUUGAUGACUGAAAAAUAAACUGUUUAAUUGAA